UUCCAUCAAAGCUUCAUGUUGGCUCUUAGCAAUAUAUGCAUGAAUUGAGAGAGAUUCAACAGGAUCCUUCCAACCUGUUGCACCUCGUAUUGUAGCUGCAGUCUUUAAUAACGCUUCUCAAAGUAAUUUCCCUUCUUGCAUUGUAGAAAUGGCAGAAGCCCAAAACUCACUAAUUUCCGUACUUCCACCAAGGUCAUCAUCUACUCUAGCACCAUAACUUGCACUUUCUCGUGCU
rnacentral:lncRNA from 1 species